UGGGGAAUUUUGGACAAUGGGCGCAAGCCUGAUCCAGCCAUGCCGCGUGCGGGAAGAAGGCCUUCGGGUUGUAAACCGCUUUUGUCAGGGAAGAAAUCUUCUGAGUUAAUACCUCGGGAGGAUGACGGUACCUGAAGAAUAAGCACCGGCUAACUACGUGCCAGCAGCCGCGGUAAUACGUAGGGUGCAAGCGUUAAUCGGAAUUACUGGGCGUAAAGCGUGCGCAGGCGGUUUUGUAAGACAGAGGUGAAAUCCCCGGGCUCAACCUGGGAACUGCCUUUGUGACUGCAAGGCUUGAGUGCGGCAGAGGGGGCAUGGAAUUCCGCGUGUAGCAGUGAAAUGCGUAGAUAUGCGGAGGAACACCGAUGGCGAAGGCAAUCCCCCUGGGCCUGCACUGACGCUCAUGCACGAAAGCGUGGGGAGCAAACAGGAUUAGAUACCCUGGUAGU
rnacentral:rRNA from 1 species